rnacentral:siRNA from 1 species
AUAGGAGAGGGUUCAGUUGACCCC